GGUUUCUUGAGGUAUUUAAGAGAUUUAACCUGCCCACUGAAAGUAAAUUUAAAGGGCCGCAGUAUUUUGACUGUGCAAAGGUAGCAUAAUCAUUAGUCUUUUAAUUAAGGGCUAGUAUGAAUGGUUGGACGAGGUGAAUUCUGUUUUAUAUUAAUUUAAAUUGAAUUUAGGUUUUAAGUAAAAAAACUUAAAUGUUAUUAAGGGACGAGAAGACCCUAUAGAGUUUAAUAUAUGUAGUAAUUAAUUGAGUUAAGGUUUAAUUUUUGAUUAUUGUAAAAUAUAUUUAAUUGGGGUGAUUAGGAGAUAAAUAAAACUCUUUUUAAAUUUUAAUAAUAUAAUUAGUUAUAUGAUCCAUAAUUAAUGAUUAUAAGAUUAAAUUACCUUAGGGAUAACAGCAUAAUUCUUUUUGAGAGUUCAUAUUGAAAAAAGAGAUUGUGACCUCGAUGUUGGAUUAAGAUUAGUUUUGGGUGCAGAUGUUCAAUAACUAGGUCUGUUCGACCUUAAAAAUCUUACA
rnacentral:rRNA from 1 species